CCUACGGGAGGCAGCAGUGGGGAAUAUUGGACAAUGGGCGAAACCCUGAUCCAGCGACGCCGCGUGAGUGAAGAAGUCUUUCGGUACGUAAAGCUCUAUCAGCAGGAAAGAAAAUGACGUGACCUGACUCAGCAGCCCUGGCUAACUCCGGGCCAGGAGCCGCGGUAAUACGGAGGGGGCAAGCGUUCGCCGGAGUUACGGGGGGUAAAGGGAACGUAGACGGCAGGGUAAGUCUGGAGUGAAAUGCCUGGGCCCAACCGCGGAACUGCUCUUGAAACUGGGAAGCUGGAGUGCAGGAGAGGUAAGCAGAAUUCCUGGUGUAGCGGUGAAAUGCGUAGAUAUCAGGAGGAAUACCGGCGGCGAAGGCGGCUUACUGGACUGUAACUGACGUUGAGGCUCGAAGGCGUGGGGAGCAAACAGGAUUAGAUACCCGGGUAGUC
rnacentral:rRNA from 1 species